GGCGAGUGGCGAACGGGUGAGUAAUACAUCGGAACAUGUCCUGUAGUGGGGGAUAGCCCGGCGAAAGCCGGAUUAAUACCGCAUACGAUCCACGGAUGAAAGCGGGGGACCUUCGGGCCUCGCGCUAUAGGGUUGGCCGAUGGCUGAUUAGCUAGUUGGUGGGGUAAAGGCCUACCAAGGCGACGAUCAGUAGCUGGUCUGAGAGGACGACCAGCCACACUGGGACUGAGACACGGCCCAGACUCCUACGGGAGGCAGCAGUGGGGAAUUUUGGACAAUGGGCGAAAGCCUGAUCCAGCAAUGCCGCGUGUGUGAAGAAGGCCUUCGGGUUGUAAAGCACUUUUGUCCGGAAAGAAAUCCUUGACUCUAAUACAGUCGGGGGAUGACGGUACCGGAAGAAUAAGCACCGGCUAACUACGUGCCAGCAGCCGCGGUAAUACGUAGGGUGCGAGCGUUAAUCGGAAUUACUGGGCGUAAAGCGUGCGCAGGCGGUUUGCUAAGACCGAUGUGAAAUCCCCGGGCUCAACCUGGGAACUGCAUUGGUGACUGGCAGGCUAGAGUAUGGCAGAGGGGGGUAGAAUUCCACGUGUAGCAGUGAAAUGCGUAGAGAUGUGGAGGAAUACCGAUGGC
rnacentral:rRNA from 1 species